UUCCCCCUGCUAUGUUCGUGAUAAACAUAUAAUUUUGAGCCAACAUAUCUAAAAAGGGAACCGUCUCUUAUUGUAGCAGGCAUGCCCUCUUGAAGGGACGUCUAAAGCAGUAAUAUGGUGACCACCUAGUAACCAGGGUUCAAAAUAAACUGUUUACACGGCAUUACGUGGGGGGUAU
rnacentral:other from 1 species